rnacentral:rRNA from 1 species
UACGCAGGGGGCUAGCGUUGCUCGGAAUCACUGGGCGUAAAGCGCACGUAGGCGGCUUUUUAAGUCCGGGGUGAAAUCCUGGAGCUCAACUCCAGAACUGCCUUUGAUACUGGGAAGCUUGAGUCCGGAAGAGGUGAGUGGAACUCCGAGUGUAGAGGUGAAAUUCGUAGAUAUUCGGAAGAACACCAGUGGCGAAGGCGGCUCACUGGUCCGGUACUGACGCUGAGGUGCGAAAGCGUGGGGAGCAAACAGG